CGUGCGCCGUCGCCGAAUCCCGCGCGCUCACCGCGCCGUGGGAACCGGGGAACCACCUUCUGGGGUGAAUCGGGCUGAUCAGAGGCGACUCUGACGGCCCGUAGGAGACCUUCCUGCUCCGAACCCGUCAGCUAACCCGGUAGGCGGAAGGAAGGAAAGGA
rfam:Streptomyces cattleya DSM 46488, complete genome.